rnacentral:rRNA from 1 species
AGCGAACGCUGGCGGCAGGCUUAACACAUGCAAGUCGAGCGGGCAUCCUUGUGGUGUCAGCGGCAGACGGGUGAGUAACGCGUGGGAACGUGCCCUUCUGUUCGGAAUAACUCAGGGAAACUUGAGCUAAUACCGGAUACGUGCGAGAGCAGAAAGGUUUAUCUGCCGAAGGAUCGGCCCGCGUCUGAUUAGCUAGUUGGUGAGGUUAUGGCUCACCAAGGCGACGAUCAGUAGCUGGUCUGAGAGGAUGAUCAGCCACACUGGGACUGAGACACGGCCCAGACUCCUACGGGAGGAAGCAGUGGGGAAUAUUGGACAAUGGGGGCAACCCUGAUCCAGCCAUGCCGCGUGAGUGAUGACGGCCUUAGGGUUGUAAAGCUCUUUUCUCCGGGACGAUAAUGACGGUACCGGAGGAAUAAGCCCCGGCUAACUUCGUG